UGCCUACAUUCCCGAUAUCCCACUGGAAAGUGAGCUGCUAGGACGUAGACGGCAUCCGUUCCGUCGCCGAGUGCCGAGUGGGCGGCGACUUGAGGGAAGAAAGACCGGGAGGGAGACGCCGGGCGACCGCGAAGGGAGAGGUCAAAAUGCCCUGGCUGCUGUUUUCACUGUUCCCGUGGCCCACUGGAAAAAGAAGCUGAAAUACAGGAUGUAGGUUGUCUAAUGGACCUGGAACGACGGAGGAAGCUGGACUUAGGAUCCAUUUCUGCCUGUCUCCAAAGCCCUGCCUAUACCAAACAUCAGGCCACAGCCCUGUCUCCGUGCUGACUGCCUUUCUCCACUUCCUGCCAGCCACCCUCAUGUCUGGGCUUCUGGGUUUGUGUUCUUUGUCUGGGGCUGUUGAUGGACCACCAGGAGGUCCCUGGGUAUCCUGUCAGUGUUUCCCAGCCACUAGAGGAUGACUUGGGAUGGCAUCCCAGGUUCUGACACGUACUUAGAAAAUUCUGCACAGGCAGCAGCAGGUAGACACCGAUGUUGAAAUGAAUUGUUUCUAAGCUGACGGCCAAGAAGGAAUUCUUGAAAAGGUUUUGGUGCAAAAAAAAAAUAAAAGGUGGUUUUGUUAAA